CAAGAGGGCUGGUAGUAAAGAGAUCUGUAAGGGCAGACAAGGGAAGUACAAAAUAAAACAGGAACCAUGAGACAUGAAACAUGCAGGGGGAGACCUAAGGAUGUGGCAAGAACUCAUUUGAGCACCAUGACGGUUGAGAAAGAUGUGGGGCCCUCUCAGUACGCUGCAACUAAAAUGUUUCAAUUAUUAUUCACCUUAAACAAGAAACUGAAGCUACUCUCUCUCUCUGGUUGUGUUGUUAUGUUGAACCUUUGGUUUCAGGAAUUAAAAUGAUAAAACCUUAAUCUAUGUCUUCUCUGUUCUGUUCUCAGAAAAGUAAAUAACUAUGAUAACGUAGAUUCACAAGAAAUUUAUGCCAAUGAUCCCGUAUAUGGCAACAUGGAGACUGACCUGGAUGAUGCAAUAAACGCCAACGUGUAACAGGAACAAAAAGAAGAGUUCACUGGAUGUUACUGCAUAAUGCAAAAUGUGUUUCCUGACUUAUGUGGGUCAAGAAAGUUGUUCAGGCUAUUGAUUGACCACUUUCUGUAUAGAUUAUGUAAACAUUGCUAUCAUCAGUCUCCUGUGAUGCACUUCUCUGAGAAAACAGUCACUCAUGUCUAAAAUGACUUAUUUUAUUUUAUUC